rnacentral:rRNA from 1 species
GUGCCAGCCGCCGCGGUAAGACGAAGGGGGCAAGCGUUGUUCGGAAUUACUGGGCGUAAAGGGCGCGUAGGCGGCCUGAUGAGUCAGACGUGAAAGGCCUGGGCUCAACCUGGGAAUUGCGUUUGAUACUGUUGGGCUUGAGAGCGGGAGAGGAUGGUGGAAUUCCCAGUGUAGAGGUGAAAUUCGUAGAUAUUGGGAAGAACACCGGUGGCGAAGGCGGCCAUCUGGACCGUAUCUGACGCUGAGGCGCGAAAGCGUGGGGAGCAAACAGGAUUAGAUACCCCCGUAGUCC